GUCCUCUUGAAUAAUAUUAUGAGGUCUGGUCUGCUCACUGAUAAUUUAAAUAGCCGCGGUAUUUUCCCGUGCAAAGGUAGCAUAAUCAUUAGUCUUUUAAUUUAAGGCUGGAAUGAACGGCUUGACGAGAAAUUAACUGUCUCUUAAUAACUUGAAGAAUUUAACUUCUAAGUUAAAAGGCUUAGAUUUAUUUUUAGGACGAGAAGACCCUAUAGAUCUUUACAUUAAUAUUAUAUUAGGUUUUUAGUUAAUAUUUCCAUAUUUAUUAAUAAUGUUUUGUUGGGGUGACAUAUAAAAUCAAUAAACUUUUUAUUUUAAAAUCAUUGAUUUAUGUUUAUUUUGAUCCAUAAUUUAUGAUCAUGAGAUUAAGUUACCUUAGGGAUAACAGCGUAAUUAUUUUUGAGAGCUCAUAUCGACAAAGUAGAUUGCGACCUCGAUGUUGGAUUAAGAAUAAUUUUAGGUGUAGUAGUCUAAAAAUUAGGUCUGUUCGACCUUUAAAUUCUU
rnacentral:rRNA from 1 species